rnacentral:rRNA from 1 species
GACGUAGGUGGCGAACGUUAUCCGGAAUUAUUGGGCUUAAAGGAUGCGUAGAUGGUGUAGUAAGUUAUCGGUGGCAAAUCGAGGCUCAACCUCGUGGAAGUCGGUAAUACUGCUAUGCUAGAGGAUAGGAGAGGUUAACGGAACUCCCUGUGGAGCGGUGAAAUGCGUAGAUAUAGGGAAGAACACCAAUAAGGCGAAGGCAGUUAACUAUUCUACUCCUGACAUUGAGGCAUGAAAGCGUGGGGAGCAAAACGG